rnacentral:rRNA from 2 species
CCUACGGGAGGCAGCAGUGGGGAAUAUUGCACAAUGGGCGAAAGCCUGAUGCAGCAACGCCGCGUGAGUGAAGAAGGCCUUCGGGUUGUAAAGCUCUGUCUUUUGGGACGAUAAUGACGGUACCAAAGGAGGAAGCCACGGCUAACUACGUGCCAGCAGCCGCGGUAAU